CUACGGGAGGCUCCAGUGGGGAAUAUUGGACAAUGGGGGAAACCCUGAUCCAGCAAUGCCGCGUGUGUGAAGGAGGCCUGCGGGUUGUAAAGCACUUUCGGUUGGGAGGACUGCUUCUAGCACUAAUAUUGUUGGAAGUUGACGUUACCUUCAGAAGAAGCACCGGCUAACUCCGUGCCAGCAGCCGCGGAAAUACGGAGGGUGCAGCGUUAAUCGGAAUUACUGGGCGUAAAGCGCGCGUAGGCGGCUAGAUCAGUCGGGUGUGAAAGCCCCGGGCUGAACCUGGGAACUGCAUCCGAUACUGUCUAGCUUGAGUACAGGAGAGGGGAGUGGAAUUCCACAUGUAGCGGUGAAAUGCGUAGAUAUGUGGAGGAACACCAAUGGCGAAGGCAGCUCUCUGGCCUGAUACUGACGCUGAGGUGCGAAAGCGUGGGGAGCAAACAGGAUUAGAUACCCGAGUAGUC
rnacentral:rRNA from 1 species